CCAUCCACUCUCACGCUGAAAGAUAGAUUGGGAUAGAGAAGGGAUUGCGAACACAGAGUAGUCAAGUUAUUUGGCGUCAGCGUGUCGGUAUGCACGCAACAAUUGUAAUCUGCGUGGAAUAUCGGGAAUUGUGAAGCGGAAUAAUGUCAUGAUCUUGAACAACAUUCAAGAGGUUUUAUCGAAUAACUCUACUGUAGGCGGUACUGUAACUUUCAAGCUUCACAACUCGAUAA